AUGCGUUGUUGGGUAGGGGAGCGUUCUGUAAGCCUGCGAAGGUGUGCUGUGAGGCAUGCUGGAGGUAUCAGAAGUGCGAAUGCUGACAUAAGUAACGAUAAAGCGGGUGAAAAGCCCGCUCGCCGGAAGACCAAGGGUUCCUGUCCAACGUUAAUCGGGGCAGGGUGAGUCGACCCCUAAGGCGAGGCCGAAAGGCGUAGUCGAUGGGAAACAGGUUAAUAUUCCUGUACUUGGUGUUACUGCGAAGGGGGGACGGAGAAGGCUAUGUUGGCCGGGCGACGGUUGUCCCGGUUUAAGCGUGUAGGCUGGUUUUCCAGGCAAAUCCGGAAAAUCAAGGCUGAGGCGUGAUGACGAGGCACUACGGUGCUGAAGCAACAAAUGCCCUGCUUCCAGGAAAAGCCUCUAAGCAUCAGGUAACAUCAAAUCGUACCCCAAACCGACACAGGUGGUCAGGUAGAGAAUACCAAGGCGCUUGAGAGAACUCGGGUGAAGGAACUAGGCAAAAUGGUGCCGUAACUUCGGGAGAAGGCACGCUGAUAUGUAGGUGAAGUCCCUCGCGGAUGGAGCUGAAAUCAGUCGAAGAUACCAGCUGGCUGCAACUGUUUAUUAAAAACACAGCACUGUGCAAACACGAAAGUGGACGUAUACGGUGUGACGCCUGCCCGGUGCCGGAAGGUUAAUUGAUGGGGUUAGCGCAAGCGAAGCUCUUGAUCGAAGCCCCGGUAAACGGCGGCCGUAACUAUAACGGUCCUAAGGUAGCGAAAUUCCUUGUCGGGUAAGUUCCGACCUGCACGAAUGGCGUAAUGAUGGCCAGGCUGUCUCCACCCGAGACUCAGUGAAAUUGAACUCGCUGUGAAGAUGCAGUGUACCCGCGGCAAGACGGAAAGACCCCGUGAACCUUUACUAUAGCUUGACACUGAACAUUGAGCCUUGAUGUGUAGGAUAGGUGGGAGGCUUUGAAGUGUGGACGCCAGUCUGCAUGGAGCCGACCUUGAAAUACCACCCUUUAAUGUUUGAUGUUCUAACGUUGACCCGUAAUCCGGGUUGCGGACAGUGUCUGGUGGGUAGUUUGACUGGGGCGGUCUCCUCCUAAAGAGUAACGGAGGAGCACGAAGGUUGGCUAAUCCUGGUCGGACAUCAGGAGGUUAGUGCAAUGGCAUAAGCCAGCUUGACUGCGAGCGUGACGGCGCGAGCAGGUGCGAAAGCAGGUCAUAGUGAUCCGGUGGUUCUGAAUGGAAGGGCCAUCGCUCAACGGAUAAAAGGUACUCCGGGGAUAACAGGCUGAUACCGCCCAAGAGUUCAUAUCGACGGCGGUGUUUGGCACCUCGAUGUCGGCUCAUCACAUCCUGGGGCUGAAGUAGGUCCCAAGGGUAUGGCUGUUCGCCAUUUAAAGUGGUACGCGAGCUGGGUUUAGAACGUCGUGAGACAGUUCGGUCCCUAUCUGCCGUGGGCGCUGGAGAACUGAGGGGGGCUGCUCCUAGUACGAGAGGACCGGAGUGGACGCAUCACUGGUGUUCGGGUUGUCAUGCCAAUGGCACUGCCCGGUAGCUAAAUGCGGAAGAGAUAAGUGCUGAAAGCAUCUAAGCACGAAACUUGCCCCGAGAUGAGUUCUCCCUGACUCCUUGAGAGUCCUGAAGGAACGUUGAAGACGACGACGUUGAUAGGCCGGGUGUGUAAGCGCAGCGAUGCGUUGAGCUAACCGGUACUAAUGAACCGUGAGG
rnacentral:rRNA from 1 species